GAUAGCACAGGAAAAUUUUGGAAAAUUUGUAACGUUAUUAUCUAUAUCCACUUGUUCAGUUAUCUUAGCCAAGUGUAUAACCUGAGUAGGGGUACCCUUAGUAUUUAUGUCAACCCUACUAGUAUUAGGGGUAAAAUUAGAAUUUAAUAAUUUUUCUAAUUGAGAAGUCGACACGUCGUUGCAAUUUGUAGGAUGAAUUGAAAAGUUUUG
rnacentral:misc_RNA from 1 species